UGUAGGCCAGAAAUGGUUGUAGGUUGGUAUCACUCACAUCCUGGCUUCGGAUGCUGGCUAUCAGGCGUCGAUAUCAAUACUCAGCAGAGUUUUGAAGCUUUGAACCCCAGAGCCGUUGCUGUUGUGAUAGACCCCAUCCAGAGUGUGAAGGGGAAGGUGGUUAUUGAUGCAUUCCGCCUCAUUAAUCCUCAGACCAUGAUGCUUGGCCAGGAGCCACGU